UACAUGCGUCACUCUCCUCCUUCCCCUAGGAACCUUCACGCACUUUCUUUCUCUGAGAACCACAGCCGAGACUGCCCUCUUUCUCUCUCUAAAACCCUGCUCGAGAAAACACCCUCAGGCCAUCUAUCCCGUUUGAAAGCUCUCUCUCUGCAAAACCAUAUCUGGGAAAUCGAUCCCAUCCUGUUUUCCAGCCAAAUGUUCCCGAAUCCACGAAAAUCCCUUUGAGCGGAUCGGGGCCUUCUCUCUCCACAAAUUGAUUUACAGAGAGAGGUUGAAGCUUUAUCUUUCUACAGAAUUGUAGAGAGAUAAAUGGAGGCAGUUGCAGAGGGGUUAUGGGGACUUGCAGAUGUCCACGAGAAGAACGGGGACCUGAAAGCAGCAGUGAAAUGCUUAGAAGCCAUUUGUCAAUGUCAAGUUUCGUUUCUGCCCAUCAUCGAGGUCAAGACUCGUAUUAGGAUCGCAUCGAUUCUCCUUAAUCUCACACACAACGUCAAGCACGCCAAAUCUCACCUUGAAAGAGCUCAAUUGCUUUUAAAGCAAAUUCCUUCAUGUUUUGAGUUGAAGUGCAGAGCAUACAGCUUGCUUAGUCAAUGCUACCAUUUAGUGGGUGCAGUUCUUCCUCAGAAGCAGAUGUUGAUAAGGGGCUUGGAAUUGAUUGCUUCUAUUGGAGAUGGCUUGUCAGGACAGUUGUGGUUCUGUAACUUCAAUAUACAACUUGCAAAUGCUUUGAUAAUAGAAGGAGAUUAUCGAGGUGCACUAUGUGCUUUGGAACGUGGGCAGCAGUGUGCUGUUGCGACAGGUUAUAUUGAACUUCAGUUGGUUUUUGCAACUUCAGUGCUGCACCUACACCUCAUGCAAUGGGAAGAUGUAAAUGCUGUCAAGAGAGCUGUUGAAAAAUGUGAUGAAGUUUGGGCUAGUGUUCCACCUCAUCUGAGGCAGCCCUGUGUUGGUUUAUAUCUUUACAGUGAGCUAUUGCACGCAUUUUAUCUACUCAAAGUAUGUGAUAUCAAGGCUGUCGCUCAGCAUGUUGACAAGCUUGAUGCUACUUUAAAAGAUGACUAUCAACACACAAGUUCUGGUAAUGGAGAAUUGCAUGAACAACUGAUGUGGAGGAAUAAACUAGGGUUGGCUCCUGCUCCACUUAAUGGGGAGUGGCUUCCCAAAAGCGCUGUCCAUGUUCUGGUUGAUCUUGUUGCAGUUAUAUCUGGGCGUCCGAAAGGGUUAUUCAAGGAAUGUGGGAGACGGAUUCAAUCUGGAUUGCGUGUGGUUCAAGAGGAACUAGAGAAGCUCGGAAUCAUUAAUAAUGUGAGAGAGGUAGAUUUGCAACACUGGGCCAUAUGGAAGUCAGGCACAUAUUUGAUGCUGCUCAUGCACUUAUUGGAAAACAAAGUAAUAAUUGAGCUCACGCGAUCUGAAUUUGUUGAAGCACAAGAGGCACUUAUUCUAAUGAAGAAAUGGUUUAUGCGCUUCCCCAUUAUUUUGCAAGGGUGCGAAAGCACAAUUGAAAUGCUCAUUGGCCAGUAUGCACAUUCCCUAGGAUGCUUUAACGAAGCUGCUUCACAUUUUAUUGAAGCAACAAAGCUUACUGAGAGCAGAUCCAUGCAAGCUAUGUGCCAAAUUUAUGCAGCCGUGUCUUACAUUUGUAUUGGAGAUGCAGAAUCAUCGUCUAAGGCAUUAGACUUAAUAGGGCCCAUUUAUAGGGCCAUGGACUCUUAUAUAGGAGUGCGAGAGAAAACAUGUGUUCUUUUCACUUAUGGGCUUUUGCUGAUGAAGCAACACAACUUGCAGGAAGCUCGAAUCCGACUGGCAAGUGGUUUGAGGUUGACACACCAACAUUUGGGCAAUAUUCAACUUGUUUCCCAGUACUUGACAAUUCUUGGAAGCUUGGCUCUUGCUCUCCAUGACAGUGGGCAAGCCAGGGAGAUUUUGAAGUCUUCUUUGACAUUAGCCAAGACACUUUAUGACAUACCUACACAGAUUUGGGUGCUAUCAGUCUUAACAGAGUUGUAUCAAGAACUGGGUGAAACUGCAAAUGAAAUGGAGAACUCUGAGUAUGAAAGGAAAAAAGCUGAUGAUUUGAAAAAAAGAAUUUCUGAUGCAGUUUCUUCAGUGCAUCACCUUGAUUUGAUCCAGACUCAGGUGGACAAAGUUAAACUUGAGGUCCAGCAGUUGCAAGAGCUCGACAUCAAGAGAGUCCAGCCUGCUUCUUCUUUGAGAACUGAUCUUGAGAUCCCAGAGUCCAUGGAUAUGCUCGUACAGUCAUCGUCUGCUUCAUCAAAACUAUCUGCUGAAAGGAACAGGAGCCGACGAAAAGAAAAGAUGCAUCUUCCUUAAUCGAUUUUAAUUAUAGAACAAAUCCCAUCAUCUUGCUCAUGGGUACCUUCUGAUUCUUAGUUUCCAAAAGGGCAUUUUGGCUUCAUGGGUGCUUCCAUACUUUUUUCGUAUGUAUAUGCUAACAUCUAUAUGAUCUGUGCAGCUCUGUAGCAUUUCAAAAGCAUUUCAGAGAAUCAUUGGAUAGAACGUUGUACUUCCUUUGUGAGUCUGUUUGUUUUGAAUGUAUGUCAUACCAAAGUAUGAAAUAAGAAAAUGUUUUUACUCUGAACUCUCAAAUUAUGACAUGAAUAGAAGCUUGAUCUCUUUGGGGUAGGCAUUUAGGAAGGUGACCAUUAUCCAAUGGACUAGGGGAAAACCAUAUUCUAUUAGAUCCUCUUCAUAUGGACUUAACUGUAGUACCUUGAAAUCUUUUGUUUGCCUAUUUAUGGGUUCCGGUACUGGCUUGUCCUAAUGACCGACAGUCUAAUCAAGUCAUCCAUCUGGCCCAUAGUUACUGGGAUCUCUCAAUUUGAUGGCAAUCUAGGGGAUCCCAUGCCCCCAGAGCUGGCCCUUGGGUGGAUCUUGCUCCUGUAUGGGAGGGAGGGGGGGGACACGAUCUUUUAUGAGGAAACAAGUACCAAAUGCAUAUUUGUUAAAAACAAAGUAAUUAUCUUGCAAAAUGUUGUUCUAUAUAUUUCUAAAGAGAAAAGAUAUAUGUUUGCCACAUGGGUUUUAGACCUUUAGAACUUAUCAUGCGAUUCCAAAAAUGUUAGGAUCUAGCUCCCAACAUGUUAGGAUCGAGAUCUCUAAUUCAAGGUGUAUGAAUGUCAAUCCUGACCAUGGGGAGCUUCUAGCCUAUCACAAUCCCAUGUUCCCAAUUUCACUGCAGGUCCCGAUUCCAACAACUAUGAUCUGGCCAUCUUUGUUCUUAUUUAUAUGUUGGACAAGUUAGUUUAGUCGGAUGGUGGUCACAUUUGAUUGUUUUAAGUCUUGUUAUUAGGAUGAGUUGGUGCAUGUAUUUACAGAAGUUAUGUGAGUUUGGGCAUAUGUCAGACCUUCAAGAGCCAAAAGGGAAUACUUAUAGGCCCCUCUAUGAAGAUUAAAAUGUCAAGCAUCCACAUGCCGCCCAUAAGACAUUAAGAGGUUUAGAGGGACACUGGUCUGCGGUUUCCUCAACAAGGAGUGCACAUCGAUUAUAGAGUUCCUCAAAGCUAAAUUUGGUUGGAAUUGACUGGGAGUGACGUGGUUAUUUUUGGGGCGGUUUGCCAACUUGAGAUGGCGAGGAAAUGCUUGGCUACCAACAGACAAGAAAUCAAUUAUUUAUUUAUUUUCUUUUCUGUUUUGGCUCAACAUGUAAUCCUCUUGUAACAUUCUUUAUUACAAGGUUUUUGUUCCACAAAUUAUUCUUAAAUUUAUUUUCCUCACGAUUUUCACUGA